GCGAGUGAGAGAGAGCGAGAAAACGAGAAAGGGGAGGAACAUUGAGCAGUUCUCAUACGCCUACUGUCUGCCAUGAAGAGGUUCUCUGGUGAAUACAAUGAGAGAUGCUUCCAUCAUUUCUCACAAAGAGAAAUAACUGCAGAAAUCACAGCAUGACCAGGCCACAGCAUGACCAGGCCAACGCUCUGAGCUACAUUUUUGUGGUCUCAACGCAAAGAUCAUGGAGCUGGUGCAUGUGGGUUUUCACCAACUUCGACAAAAGCAUCUGAUGAGCAGGUCAAAUACAUCUGAGUGUCUGAAUCUGAUCAUGAGCUUCAAUAGGUUGAGUCAUUGUGGCCUUUUGGUGUGAAAGGAUAAAUGCUGCUUUACUCACAGCGCUGACAGGGACACAGUCACACUGACAAUGAUCAUCAACUGCAUAAGCAGGAAGCAGGAUUUGGACGAACACUAGCUUGUUUCUUAUUUUUUUGCAUUGUUCCUCCACAACAGAGCUUGAUUAUUUAUGUGGUAGACUGAACUGCAGUGUAGACUAACUCCAGCAAACUAACUAAACAAGUGUGGAUCCUAACAGUGUGUAUGUGUUUGCAGUAUGUGAUAUAGUAUCUGCUAUACUGUUCAUCAAGACUUCUUAGUCCUUGGUUAGCAUCACUGUGAACCAUGACAACAGGCAUGAAUGAAUAAUAAGAAGCAUAAACGACAUGGCUGAGACCAGA